CCACUUUCUUCUUUAAUCUCGCUCUUCCAUGCGAUGGAAGAGAAAUCCUGCCCCCCGGAGACUCGCCGCGACCCGCCGUGUGCGCUUCCCCCCCAGCCCCCUGCCUUGCUUCCCCGGGGAAAUGUGUGAUUUGUUUUGGUUUCCAAACCACUUCAUCCCGCUUCUCCUCCCUUAUCACUGGUUUUCCGCAUCAAGACCCUCAUCUGCGAGGCACGGGGUGCCUGACUUCACGUUGCCUUGCUAAAUGUGCCCGGGAGCGCAGCCGGCACCCCGGCGGGAUGGGAAACUGGGGGAGCUCCGGCGCUUCCCACACAUCCCUGCCGUCGUUCGCGGAAUCCUUCGGGUGCUGCUCCGCCACCGACUCCCACCCACUAGGAAGAAUUAUUCCACAGUAUCAGUCUGCCCUGUUUUUCACAGAGCUAACAAGGGAGCCUGCACAUGCUGCCCCAGAGCAGACUUUGCAAGGAUUUUCUUCAAGUGGAGAAAGCAGAGGUUGUGGAGAAAGUACUGGAGAAGAUGUGCCGAGUCCUGGUUCAGCACCGUAUCUGUGACAGCGGUGCUGCCUCCUCCAUUACAUCCCAUGUCCCAAGUGUCACUGUGGUUUGAUUUUCCUUUCCAGGAGGACUUUAGAUAAUUGCUCCCCGAGGGGCCGGGCAGAGAGCGAGGAGCAGAGACUGAUAAUCCGGGAGGACAUGGAUACAAAUAUCAGGCUGCUGCGCUGAGUGCCUGCUUAAUUUAUUGGGAACGAGCUGUUACUCAGCACUUUGCAGGAUUAGACCCGCUGUAAUUCUGUUAUUUAAGGAGAGGCAGAGCCCAACCACAACAACAACCCACCCGGGGCCGCUGUGGGGACGGGCGGCGCUGGAGAGGAGCACAUGCUGGUUUAUUUUUUACGCUAUGGAAAGAAUGAGCUUUUAGGACACAAAGUCCUGGCGAGG
rnacentral:lncRNA from 1 species